rnacentral:lncRNA from 1 species
UUAUCUCUUAUAAAAUCAUACAGGAAACAUUAUCAAACAUAAAAUGAUGUUUGACUUUCUUUAUUCUAAAAACUAAUAAAAAUAGGUGCUAAAAAUUUUCCAAAUGAAAAUAAAUAUUGCUAAACCAAAGAGAAAUGUUAUCUAAGCCCCGUAUAAAAAAUAAAUAAAUCUUGUUCCAAUUGCAUCAAAAAACCCAUUAAGGGCCCUCCAGCACAGGGUUAAUACCAACGAGUUUCCACCUCCAGCUGCUCCUAGAGUGGCCACAGCAUGAGCCAUCUGGUGGGGGACCUAGCCGCCAACAGACACUUCCUGUACAGGGGAGGGGGGAGGGGGCCAGGCAGCCGUUAGACAGCACAACCGAACCCAACACCGGGGCCCAACGGCAGGGGCUUGGGCAGGAGCAAGGUCCGAGGGCUGCCAGGUCCACGCUGCUUUUAUGAGCUGUAACACUCACCGCGAAGAUCUGCAGCUUCACUCCUGAGCCCAGCGAGACCACGAGCCCACCGGGAGGAACAAACAACUCCAGACGCGCUGCCUUAAGAGCUGUAACACUUGCCGUGAAGGUCUGCAGCUUCACUCCUGAGCCAGCGAGACCACGAACCCACCAGAAGGAAGAAACUCCGAACACAUCUCAACAUCAGAACGGACAGACUCCAGACGCACCACCUUAAGAGCUGUAACACUCACCGCGAGGUUCCGCGGCUUCAUUCUUGAAGUCAGUAAGACCAAGAACCCACCAAUUCCGGACACAGUAGCAUUUGGGAAUAAUAAGAAUUGUAGCUGGGCAUGGUGGUACACGCCUGUAGACCCCUAGCAGCUGCCAUCAUCCUCACCAUCCGCAUAUUAUUGAUAUAUUAACUCUUUGAUGGCAACCAUAGCUUAUCCCCCUUAUCUCCCUAUGCCCUACAGCAGGGCAGUGGAAUGGUUAAGAGGCUUUGAAGUCUAAGAGUGCUGGCUUAAAACCCUAAUUUGUCAUUUUGGAUGUGUGGCUUUGGACACUUGGGGCAGGUCACCUAUGUUCUUCAAGCCCUGUAUCCUUAUCUGUCAGAUGAUGAUUUUUUUUUUUUUAGACGAAGUCUCACUCUCUUGCCCGGGCUGGAGUGCAGUGGCAUGAUCUCGGCUUACUGCAAGCUCCACCUCCCGGGUUGACGCCAUUCUCCUGCCUCAGCUUCCUGAGUAGCUGGGACUACAGGCUCCUGCCACCACCCGUGGCUAAUUUUUUUGUAUUUUUAGUAGAGACAGGGUUUCACCAUGUUAGCCAGGAUGGUCUCGAUCUCCUGACCUCGUGAUCUGCCCGCCCCAGCCUCCCAAAGUAUCAGAUGAUUUUAACAACUAUGCUUCCAUGACUUGCUGGGCUAGAUGAUAUGACUGUAAAAUGCCUAACCCAUGGUUUAGCAUCAAGUAAGCAAAUUGUAAAUGGUAGCACUGCUCUGCCUAUGACUAUUUAGUCUUGUGCUUUAAACUCAAAUAUUUGUUGGCCUACUGAAGUCACCACACAGAGAAAGAUGCUUUUCAUUCUCAGUAAAGAACUUUGGGAGAUAACUGGGGCAGGCAGCAAGAGAACAGAUGUCAUAUGUCUAGCAUCAGCAAACUCAUCAGAACUGAUGGGCAGCUCACUUUGCUUAGAACCUGCACCAGCAUACACACGGGGCUGCUUCCCAGUCACACUGCUCCUGGGAAGGUAGGGGGGCUGCUGUUCUGCAAUUAGCGCGGUUCUUUACCUCCUAUUACCGAACUGCCAGAGUUCAUUUGUGUUCAGUUAGGUAGAUGACCAAUUCUUGUUCAUUCCUAUUUUCUUUUGCUCACUAAUGUGUUUAACGUUCACUAACCUACCAAAUGUGAUUUAUUAGCGACUUUUUCUUUGAAGAUGGAGUGGAGGAAUCCUAGCGCUUUCUGCAACAUGCUACUGCUGUUAUGGAACAGUGCAGAUAUGGAAGUGCAUCAGCCGGGGAUGGGGAGAGGCUAGGGCAGUACAUGUGAAUGGAGAGGUAGCCCCACCAGUGUGUUUUCUGAAAUACAGUCCCGCAGAGGGCAGUCUUGGGAAAUUACUGUUCUCACACACUCUUCUUGACCCUACCCCUCCAGCACCUCCCUUGCUAUCCAAGGGUUGGGAUUUUUAAAAAGAAAAACAAAUUUUAAAAAAAGCAGUGUGAAUCUUUUGCCAUCUUGUAAGGGUGAAAAGCCCCCUACCAAGUCGGGAUGAACAUUCAUGCGUGUGCUUGAGGGCUUGGGAAAAAGACAGGGCUUGGCCCCACAGUGCAGGUAGGCCCAGUGAUCCUAUAAUAGGGGCCAGGAGAUGGGAGGUCCCCUGUGGGCAGGAGUUCAAGUAUGUGGUAUUAUAUGACUGGUGCUUGAUGAACCCAGGGAGAGGGCACCAAAAACAAUGGUAUUUAAUUGUAAAAUCUCCACCCCCUGAGGAUAUGUUUUCAGGUCUGGGUGACUAAUUAGACUGGGAAACAAGGGCAGGAACGAUGGCCCUGUGCUUGCUCUGCCCGCUGCCUCUGUGGAUGUGUGGGCUGCUGGCUUCAGUCCUGCUUUUCUUUCUGAUGGUAUUGUUUAUGCUAUGUGUUUUUGCAGGAGGCCUGAGGUGGGCUGGGUUCUCCUCCUAUGGCAGGGCUUCACUCUCCUCCUCCUUCUCUGUUGGGGCUUCACUGUCCCUGGGAUAAGAAUAACAAUGCCAAGGUUUUCAUUCUUGAAAGGAGCAAUUAAGCGUCUCACCCCCUCCUCAUUUUAGAUGGGAACUGUGAGGGUCCCGUCAUUUACCCAGGGUCCCUGUUGAGGAUCUUGUCCUCAUUAGAUGACUUCUUGUGCAGCUUCCAUGCGUGAUUCUUUACUCUUGUGGCACUGAGAGGUUUGUACAUGUCUUUAAGCCAGAGCGGCUUUCUGAAUGAAAAAAGUCCAUCCUAGAAGAUAGAAAGGGAAAUAUUAAUUUUGCAUGUCCUCUGCUUUCCCUGGUCACAGCAAUGAAUCCUCCAAUGUACCUGACUCUCCCUUUGCGAAGAGCAUCUCCGUGGCAGAAAUCUGAAAAUGCCCCUGGGGAGACACAUGCACAAGACAAGCUAUCAGCUUCCCAGUUUGCACAAUUCAUCAAGAAAUUAUGCGGGGUCACUGGCACAAAUGAUGAGGCAUCUCCUGGAAGCUUAACUUCUUAUCCAUCCCAUCUCUUGGACAGAUGAUGCCAGUUAAUUACUUUGAAUAGAAGACUCACUGGUGGCACCUGCAGCUGCGGCGUUUUCCCCAAGGGGUCUGUCACACGCAGCCCAACUCAACUGGAGUCCUGAGAAGGUGAACAGACCAGGAUGGAUGGCCAGGGAACUCACCAGAAGUCCCCAGGCAUCAGAACAAGGUCGAAGCAUCCUGAUUAGGGUACCAGAGGCCCAGGCAGUACUUUUGGGGUAGACGAGGUACAGACCUUUGGCUCCUCACUGUCUUCAAGCCCACAAGAAGCAUAGAGCAGAAGAAGACAGAGGAGGGCCCAUCUGGCCCACUACCUGUUCUUGUAAAUAAAGCUUUAUUGAAGCCAGGUGCUCACCUUCUAGCACAUUCUUCAAGAGUUACUCUGAGGCAAGCCAGCCGCCAUGUCAUGAGGACACUCAAGCAGCACCAUGGAGAGGUCCGAUGGCGAGGAACAGAGGAUCCCCCUGCCGACAGCCAAUGAGGAACAGGCCUCCUGCCAACAGCCGUGUAAGGGGUCACCUUGGAAGCCAAUGGCCCCUCCCUGGUCAGGCUUUUACAUGACUGCAGUCCUGGCCAACAUCCUGACGGCAACCUCAUGAGAGACCUUGAGCCAGAGCCACCCACCUAAGCUGCUUAUAGGUUCCUGGCCCUCAGAAAUCACAUGAGAUCAUAAAUGUUUGCUCAAUUUGAGAUAUUUGUGAUGUAGCAAUAAAUAACAAACACACUUA